GAAAGAAGAAAAGGAGAGAAAAAAUUAGGCAGGAAGAAAGGGAGGAGGAAAGGAGGGAGAGAGGGAAGAAGUGGAGCUACCUCCUCCAUUAGGUAGAAGAGGCCCAAUAUUUAGGAACUGCGAUACUUUUAGGGGUCCACAUCAAUGUCAUAACUUUAUUUUUGUUUAAAAUCAGAAGAAAAAAGUGAAUAUAACAACAAAUAUAUACUAUUGAAUUCUGUGUGUAUCAUAUUUAUUCAUAUACCAAUGCAGUCAUAAAAUGUAGUUUUAAAAUUUAUUUAAUGGAGAAAGUGGCCCAUAAAAGUGUCCAGGGCCUACAAAAGUAGGAACAGUCUCAGGAAGGAGGAAAGGGGAGGGGAGAAGAUAGGAGGGAAGUGAGGGCAACAAAAGAAGAAAAGCUGGAAGGGGAAUACGGUAAGAUUGUGAGAUUUUGUGCUUGGUAAUAAUGGUUGCUGAGGAUUCUUCCAGUGGUAGCUUCUAGAUGAUUAUCCGGUUAGAGAACCUGGUUUGGAGACUUGGAUACCAUUACUGAAAGUUGUAUUUUAACUUUCUGGUGAUCAUUAAUGCACUGGGGAAAUAGUAACAGAAGCAAUAAGUUACUUUAAUUCGUCCCAUGUUUCCUGGUCUGUAUUGUAGCACAGUUGUGGCCUUAGAUUACCUGAACCCUUUAAGUCAUAUUUAUGAUCUUUAAACUUUAGCGAAGCUGAGGACAAAGGAAAAUCUUCACCCUCAGAGGAACAGAUGUCAUUUUUUCUAAUAUUGUAAAUUACUGGGUCAAUGCUUCUUUUCCUGAGUAAGGGACGGUUGUAAGUUAAGGAACUUAUGAAAGCUCUGGCCUUCCUAGGCAUCUCUCAUCCUUUGACACUUUUUAAAUUUUCAUUUUCAAAAUCCUUAGUCCAAGUAAUCACUGCCAAGCCUGGCCUCCCCUCUUCCACUUGCAGAGGAGGCCCCAUGAAUUCUCUGGAAAACUGUUUCUCUGGGGACCAUCUAGACCUUUACAGACUGAAUGCAGCAAAGAAGAAUUUACUAUAAGAAUGUGUCCUUGUAAGUUGGACCAGAGUACAAAAUAUUACCAUGAAACUCAGCUGAACCAUUUGAUUCACUGGGCAAUAUUUAGGGGGAGAACCAAUUCCAAGCUGGCCUUGCCACCUCUGUGCGUUUCUUCAAGCUGAGCCUUUAGCCUGGGCUGUCCUCAGGGGACAUGUGGCCAUUCAUUGCCUCCUUCAAAGCCGUCAGAGACCCUCCUCCAUAGGAUUUUCCUUUUCUCCUACAAGUCAAGACCUGGAACAUCAGCUAAUGGUAAUCCUCAGUUUAGCAUAGCUGCCCGCAAAGAUUCUGGAACUGUUUGAAUUUCUCGGCAAUUCUUGGCACAGAAGCAUCCACGCUGAUCCCAACUGGGAGAGGUCUUUUCUGGGUAGGAGGGACCCAGAUUUGGCAGCAGCAAACUUGAAACUCAAGGGAGACUCUUCACAUUCCCAAAAGAAGUCUUGGGGCACCACCACGCCUAUGGUGAACAAGGGUGCUUAUUCAAAAUGCCAAAGCGUGAUGAUUUUAAGAGGAUUCUCCUCUUUCAAUAAUCUCUGGGUACACUUGGAAAGAAAUUUUACCUUCUGUGUUGUAAUUGAAUAGAUUUUAUAUUUUUAAGAUAAAGAACAUUCAAUUUUACAACCCUAAAAGGAAAGUGUACAGGCUGCUUUCUCUAAUUCAAUCUUAAAGCUCUUCUCUUUGAUGAGGAGCAGAUACUGUUUAAUUUCUGACCCACCAAUAUGUCUUCCCAGCCUAUAGAGAGACGGGGGUGCUUUCUAUCUCCUUCCCGUUUACCACCGUAACUUCUUCCCUGACUAUAUUCUCCACUGUGGACAAAUUCAGAGUUGUGACUGGGAAACAAAAUUCCUGGAGGUAUUUAAAAAAAAAAAAGUCAGGGUAAUGCAAUGUGUGGAAUUUGGAUUAAGCUCUGAAAUGUUUUUAAUUCCAUCUCCACUGCUCACUAUUUGUGUGAUAUUAAUGAAGUAAAUAACUUCUCUGAACCUCA